rnacentral:rRNA from 1 species
UUCAAAACAAUACCCCUUAAUGCCUGAUCUUGUCUGAUUUCUGAAGCUGGGCAGGGUUGGGCUUGGUUAGUAUUUGAAUGGGAGACAGCUAGGGAUAUCAGGUGGCAC